rnacentral:rRNA from 1 species
CCUACGGGAGUCAGCAGUGAGGAAUAUUGGUCAAUGGACGAGAGUCUGAACCAGCCAAGUAGCGUGAAGGAUGACUGCCCUAUGGGUUGUAAACUUCUUUUAUAUGGGAAUAAAAUGUUCCACGUGUGGGAUUUUGUAUGUACCAUAUGAAUAAGGAUCGGCUAACUCCGUGCCAGCAGCCGCGGUAAUACGGAGGAUCCGAGCGUUAUCCGGAUUUAUUGGGUUUAAAGGGAGCGUAGGUGGAUUGUUAAGUCAGUUGUGAAAGUUUGCGGCUCAACCGUAAAAUUGCAGUUGAAACUGGCAGUCUGGAGUACAGUAGAGGUGGGCGGAAUUCGUGGUGUAGCGGUGAAAUGCUUAGAUAUCACGAAGAACUCCGAUUGCGAAGGCAGCUCACUGGACUGCAACUGACACUGAGGCUCGAAAGUGUGGGUAUCAAACAGGAUUAGAGACCCCAGUAGUC